GAUAGUAGUAGGGUCACGGCAUGGUGUUUGCUGCCCUGCUUUUAUGACUCUGUUUGUCCUUUUUCACCUCUCUCUCUUUCUUUCAAUAUAUUUUCCCCCAUCCUAUCUAUAUUUAUCAUCAUCUCCCUUCUCCCAUCCUUCCCAGAUUCCCAUUUCUUCUCUUCUCUUCUCUUCUCUUCCCCUCACAAAUCUCUCCUCCCCUCUCCCUCAUAUGGAAGAAGGAGAAGAAAAGGAAGCUUUGUUCUUGAUUGAGGGGAAUGUUGUCUGGCUCGAGGCCACCAACUAGAUCCAUGUACCCAAAUUAAAUCUCUUCUUUUUAAUUCUGGGUAAUAAUAAUUCAUCAUAUAUAUCAUGGAUCAUGUGUUAGUGUCCUCGGACCAGGCUUCAUUCCCCCCAAUUUUCUGCUUCCCUUUGAUGAUUUAACCUAGCCCUUAGCUUUCUCUAUCAAAUCUGUUUUGUGGAUAUAUAUUUGUUGUUGUGGUCAGGUAAAAUAUGAAGAAUGUGGGUGGUGGACAAUUGCAGAUUGGUGUAAUGAUGAUGGUUUUUGACUUUGCUUUUGCAGAAAAGGGUAAAAAGUUUCAUAAUUACUCUCUUGUAGUGUAGUAUUGUCAGUCUUUAAAAGAACAAAUCUUUUUUAUGAUGCUGCUGAUGAUUUCUCUCAUGAUGGGUUCAAGAAUCUCUCUUGUUUGUUUCCAGAACCUCUCCAGUGCCUUAUUGAUUGACUUUGUAAGUAGUAAUCAUUACCACUACCUCUUCCAUGGCUUCUUAGCUAGGGUUUCACUUUCUUUGCAAACGUCAUGAUAAAAACCUCACUGAAUCUCCACUCUCCCACCAAAUCCAUAAAGGUUUCCAAAUCAAAGUAACAGAUCUGCAGAUCAGUACUGAAAAAGGAGAAAGCUUUUGUGUAGAUCUAUAGUUUCUUCACUGAAAACUGCCCAUUUUCCUCCCGGGUAGCUCUCGAUCGCCCUAAAGCCUUGCUCCAACAUUGCGCGAUUUGCGAUUUACCUCUUUCAAGCAGGGGUUCGGGUGAUUUAGAAUAAGUCUGAUUUAAGCUGAGAAACCUAAUAUAUCAAACAAAAAACAUGAUUUUAACCCUUUUCCCAGUCUUUCUUGAAAGAUCUGCAGUUAUUUUGUGGGAUAUUCUUGCUGCAGAUUUGCAGAUCAGUGACAUGGUAACUUCACACAUACAGCAUAUAUUUUUGCUUAGAUUUCUUGAUUUUAUCUAUGUUUUAUGCAUUCGAGGUAAGGCUAGCUGGAUAUGUUCAUACUGCCAUCAUUUCCAGCUUGGCUUGCGUGUGGUUUCUCCAUUGCUUGAAGGGAAGGUCUCAGAGAAUAAUCAAAAAGCAGCCUGGAAAGUUAUGAUGACAAGUUGAGAUGUUGAAGCAACUUAACCCUAACUUGUUCACAGGAAUGGAGAUCAGAGGUUAUCAUUUCUCAAUGAUGUGAUAAGCUAGCCUGGUCAUGACCUUUGAUGCUAAAGCUUUGCUCAUCUAUCUAUGCAUCAAUAUAAUAUUAUUGGGUAGGAUUAGGAUUCUCUUGGGAAAUUGAAGCCCCCAUUUCAUGCACAGCUUUUACAAUGUUGGCAAGCAUUAUGCAUCUUGUUUAGUGAAAUUGUACUUAUUGUGUUAUUUUAUUUUAUUUUAUUUUAAUGUUUUUACUCA